AUUGAACGCUGGCGGCAUGCCUUACACAUGCAAGUCGAACGGCAGCGGACCUUCGGGUGCCGGCGAGUGGCGAACGGGUGAGUAAUAUAUCGGAACGUACCUUUCAGUGGGGAGUAACGUAGCGAAAGUUACGCUAAUACCGCAUAUUCUGUGAGCAGGAAAGACAGGGGAGUCGCAAGACCUUGCGCUGAUUGAGCGGCCGAUAUCAGAUUAGCUAGUUGGUGAGGUAAAGGCUCACCAAGGCGACGAUCUGUAGCGGGUCGUGAGAGGAUGAUCCGCCACACUGGAACUGAGACACGGUCCAGACUCCUACGGGAGGCAGCAGUGGGGAAUUUUGGACAAUGGGCGCAAGCCUGAUCCAGCCAUGCCGCGUGAGUGAAGAA
rnacentral:rRNA from 1 species